GGUGUUUCUUGCAGCGGAGCUCGACCGCCCAGGAGCGAAAUGAUCGCCUAUAUCGAUGCUCAUCGCGAUCAAUUCGGGGUCGAGCGCAUCUGCCGGGUUUUGCGGGCAGCUAUCCCU
rnacentral:ncRNA from 1 species